rnacentral:rRNA from 1 species
AUUGAACGCUGGCGGCAGGCCUAACACAUGCAAGUCGAGCGGAUGAAGGGAGCUUGCUCCUGGAUUCAGCGGCGGACGGGUGAGUAAUGCCUAGGAAUCUGCCUGGUAGUGGGGGAUAACGUCCGGAAACGGGCGCUAAUACCGCAUACGUCCUGAGGGAGAAAGUGGGGGAUCUUCGGACCUCACGCUAUCAGAUGAGCCUAGGUCGGAUUAGCGAGUUGGUGGGGUAAAGGCCUACCAAGGCGACGAUCCGUAACUGGUCUGAGAGGAUGAUCAGUCACACUGGAACUGAGACACGGUGCAGACUCCUACGGGAGGCAGCAGUGGGGAAUAUUGGACAAUGGGCGAAAGCCUGAUCCAGCCAUGCCGCGUGUGUGAAGAAGGUCUUCGGAUUGUAAAGCACUUUAAGUUGGGAGGAAGGGCAGUAAGUUAAUACCUUGCUGUUUUGACGUUACCAACAGAAUAAGCACCGGCUAACUUCGUG